CGUGCCAGUGCUCAUAGCUGCAAAAACAUGUCUCAGCCAGCUUUCACUGGUAGUGACAACGCAAAGAGGACGGCGAGGUGGGAAAAUAUGGCUAUUAAGAUCUUAUAGGUUGGAUCGCCACUUAGAGAAAAACACCCUCGUCUCUCCGAGGCGAUCGGCUUCGAAACGAGGAAAUGCGACCAGAGACUUAGCUAAUUUAGCAUCGUCUGCGCACUGCACCAGUCGCUUCAGGGUGACCUAUGGGCCUAGAGAAGGUAAGGUUGCUAAGUAAGGUUGCUAAAUAUGGCUACGGUGGCUGUGGCCUGUCGGUAAUAAAGCACUGCGCGAAAGCGAUGACAAAUGUGCGCGUGAACUUCUAGUGCUGCAACAUGGACCGGAUUAAUCAAUAGGAAGACGGUACUGAACACAGCACGUGCAGUUUUUCUCUCUACCUUUUUGGAUGUCUCGCUUAGGACGCGGGGUCCAUUGGCUUUAAUGAAAAAGGGCACCGUUUCUGUGCCAUCCUGAAGGACUUCGGUAUUUCAGCGCCUGGAGUAUAUAGAUCAUGUGACAAGUCAAAAGUUGUGAAAUUUGGUUUGCGUAAAUGCUGAGGGUAACCUACAAUUAUGCAGAGAAAGGAGCUACGCUUCAACGCUCGAGUUACCUAAAACAUUUGGUGAGCGAAUUAAAAUACGUGGAACAGAGGUCUGGGGUGUCAAAGAGAUCUAACUUCGUAGCCUUGUACAGACGGUGACGAACAAGCCCUUCAAUAAACAGAUGCUGCAGUUGUCGAUAGCAAGUGAACAUUUGUGCCAAAAUAACGUUUCGUGCGACCGUUUAAAAAAUUAUAUGGCGGUAAUUUUAAAAACAUUCGAUAUCGAUACUCAGUCGUUGCUGAGAUGUGAAAGCACACUGUGCUGAAUAAAGCAAGAUGAAAAGAAGGAACAGUGAAAAGGCUAAAUCUUAUGUCCAUGAAGUUUACUUAAGAUAAGUAUUUACCACUACUUAGAAGAAACGUGGAAUAGAGAUGAAAAAGCCUACUGGACAACUACCAAGCACAACUCAACUUUCCUCAUUUGAGCCAUAACGUGUCUUAUUUUAAUUACCUAUUAGUAAAUAAAGCAAUUUCGAAAUUGAACAUGUGCAUGAUCCAAAAUUGUCAGU